rnacentral:rRNA from 1 species
GAUGAACGCUGGCGGCGUGCUUAACACAUGCAAGUCGAACGAUGAAGCCCAGCUUGCUGGGUGGAUUAGUGGCGAACGGGUGAGUAACACGUGAGUAACCUGCCCUUAACUCUGGGAUAAGCCUGGGAAACUGGGUCUAAUACCGGAUAGGAGCGUCCACCGCAUGGUGGGUGUUGGAAAGAUUUAUCGGUUUUGGAUGGACUCGCGGCCUAUCAGCUUGUUGGUGAGGUAAUGGCUCACCAAGGCGACGACGGGUAGCCGGCCUGAGAGGGUGACCGGCGAGAGUGGGAAUGAGUGGAGGACCGGAGCCAUGGGGGUGGCGGAAGGGGGGGAGAGGGAGGAAUGGGUGCGAGUUGGAAGCAGCGACGAGGCGGGAGGGAGAGAGGCCUACGGGAUGUAAAGCGCAAUCAGUGGGUAAGUAGGGAACGGGAGGGGAGGUAAAAGAGCAGCAAUCGCGCGCUAGAGC